rnacentral:rRNA from 1 species
CCUACGGGUGGCAGCAGUGGGGAAUAUUGGACAAUGGGCGAAAGCCUGAUCCAGCCAUGCCGCGUGUGUGAAGAAGGCCUUCGGGUUGUAAAGCACUUUCAGUGGGGAAGAAAGCCUUGGGGCUAAUACCCUCGAGGAAGGACAUCACCCACAGAAGAAGCACCGGCUAACUCCGUGCCAGCAGCCGCGGUAAUACGGAGGGUGCGAGCGUUAAUCGGAAUUACUGGGCGUAAAGCGCGCGUAGGCGGUCUGAUAAGCCGGUUGUGAAAGCCCCGGGCUCAACCUGGGAACGGCAGCCGGAACUGUCAGGCUAGAGUGCAGGAGAGGAAGGUAGAAUUCCCGGUGUAGCGGUGAAAUGCGUAGAGAUCGGGAGGAAUACCAGUGGCGAAGGCGGCCUUCUGGACUGACACUGACGCUGAGGUGCGAAAGCGUGGGUAGCAAACAGGAUUAGAUACCCCAGUAGUC